CUUUCCCUUAGGUUUGGUCCAUUUACACGUUCUGUUUUGUCACUGCUACGGUUACCAUGUUCUGGUUUUAAUUUAAUUUUAGUCCUUGCUUUGAAUUUCAGCAUAUUGUUGAUAUUGGCAAAAUUUUGCCAUUGUUUAUGGAGCUUCAAACUUUAGGUGACAGGACGUGAAGAACCAUGCUCUGUAAAGUGUCUUGUUUUCAAUGUUGCAGGUCUCAUUUAAUUUGAGUUAAACCGUUUGGUUACAUUUACAGAAACUAAAAAGGAUGGAUCCUAUAGAUGUUAAGACGGUGCUACUGCUGAUGAGAAAUCUGUCUAUCAAUUUAAGGAGCCCAAAUUUUGAGGAUCAUAGAAGGUUGCUUGCCUCAUAUGAGGUGGAACUCGAAACAAAAAGCUACAUUAAUGCAGAUAGACCUAUGACUGGUGGGC